rnacentral:tRNA from 1 species
GCAUUGGUGGUUCAGUGGUAGGACUCUUGCCUUCCGUGUAGGAGGUCUGAGUUCCAUUCCCAGCCAAUUCC